rnacentral:sRNA from 1 species
GCUGGGCAUGGUGGUGCGUGCCUGUAAUCCCAGCUACUUGGGAGGCUGAGGCAGAAGAAUAGCUUGAACCCAGGAGGUGGAGGUUGCAGUGAACCGAGAUCACGUCACUGCACUCCAGCCUGGGGGACAAAGUGAGAUUCUGUCUCAA